AACCCAUGGUGAGGGCACCUUCUCAAUAAGUCCUUAUACAUUACCCAUGCGUCAUAUAAAGUCUCUAAAUCCAUUUGCACAAAGGACGAGAUGUCGUUCCUCAACUU
rfam:Gossypium arboreum cultivar AKA8401 contig_47857_1, whole genome shotgun sequence.